UGCAGUAUCACCCAGUUGUACAUCUCUACCCUGGGCUGACCAAGCAAUGUCGUUAAGGUCCUUUUCCAGUGCCUGAAGGCUGUGAGGGUCUGGAUGGGGGAGAGCAGGCUUCGGUUCAACCCAGCUUUGAUCAGGGCUUCAAAUGAAACUGGCCUGGAUUGAGACGUAAGGCAUCUCCACAAAAUAAUGGGAACCUAGUGUUACCAAGCAAGUGAACAAGUUGAACUUUUCCCAAAAAAAAUAUUGAUUCUUAAUGGUUGCUGCAUCUUCACAGCCAGCAUUUUGAAAGCCAGUGAUUUGGCACAAGAGGCUGGACACUAAUGUGCUGGAAAUGAAGCUGGAAAUUGAGCUGCUUCUACUUGAUUUGGUUUGACUCUAGGGCUUUUGGAAAUCUCUGGCUUUAUCC